rnacentral:rRNA from 1 species
GUUGACCUCGGAUCAGGUAGGAAUACCCGCUGAACUUAAGCAUAUCAAUAAGCGGAGGAAAAGAAACCAACAGGGAUGCCUUAGUAACGGCGAGGAA